GGCUGUUGUCGUGGUUGUGGUGGUAAAAGAGGAGGCACGUAGAGGUAGUGGUAGGGAGUGUGGGCCACAUUAUACCAGUUUAUCCCUCGAAAUAUGUGAUUAGCAAUGACUUGAGUGAAAAAAGUGAGGGAGGGGAAUGAAAAUUUAAUGGAAAUGGAAACUCCAGCGUCACGUGGCCGUAAAAUUUAUUAAAAUAAGAGGCAGCUGUAGCGAGGCUUGAACACCAUACAAACACCAUUCAAGAUGUUAUUUGUUUUGUAUGUUUCAGUUUCAUCUGUUCCUUUGAUUGUGUUCAGAUGUUGCGAUAAUUUGUGGUCUGUGUUCUUUGUCAAGUCAUGUUUAUGCAGCUGCAUGUUUCAGUCCUUUGUUUGGUCUUGUGCUGCACGUGUCUCUUUCUCAGCAUUUAUAUGCAGAGAAAGCAACAAUUCAUAUUUGCAUAUUUAACCCUAAAUUGUGAUCUUGAAUGUGCACUCUCUCUCUCUCUCUCUCUCUCUCUCUCUCUCUCUCUCUCUCUCUCUGAGGCUAAAAAUUUUAAAACCCUAUUCACAGCGUAUCACUGAGCCACGGACUAGUCAUGACUCUAGGGCAGGGGUCUUAAAUGACUCGUGAGAUGACGUGAUUUUUCAGCUCGAUACUAUGGUUGUUGCAGUUGAGGAAGGUACUAAACUUUUUAAGAACCACACACAUUACCAAGCACUCUGGCAUCACAGAGCCAACACAGCACAGGCACCAAAGGAAGGAGCCCCAGCCAGACACUUGGCACUUAGGCACACAAGCACCCACCAUUGAAAGUGUCAGCAGCAGAGAGUGCCUGCUUGGAAAAGUGGAAGGCCAGAUUCAGCAUGGAAGAUGGAGUGCCCCAGCUAGUUGGCAUCAAAGUCGCUGCAGUUAAUGGCUUGAUGUUCCACACAGCCACAGCUCCCCUGUGGCCACACCAGUCUGACGUUCUGCUGCCCCAAACGUGAUAUUAAUCACUGACCCCGUGUUGUUCUAUGCCACACAGGACACCACACACUGUGGAGUAAACAUGCAGCACCUCGCCUCUGUAUCACUGUGGCUGCAGUGGAUGUGCAGCAACUGCACCCCAAGACUGCCUCCUUCAGAGUGCCAUACCCAAGGAAUGCCUGACUGAGCGCCUGUCGAUCCAGCUCUUGCAGUACGGGAAUGGGAACUGGGAAGGAACUCUGUGUUUACGUGACUGCUGACUCAUCUUACCUUUAUUAAUUGUUUAUCUGUAUUAUUAUUAUUUUUUUUAUUUUUAAGGCUUGUUUUCUGCCUUUGUUUUCCAAGGUUUGUUAUCCUUUCUUUUAUUUAUACUUGGUGAUAAUGUGAGUUUAUUUUUGUGUUCUCAUUCAUUCUUUUCCUCUGCAUUUUUUCAGAGGUUUGUAUUUUUCCUGUGUUCUUUCCUCUGAUAAAAAUUCUAGUGCUGAGUACCACAGUUAAUCCUUCCCAUGCUAAGUAGCUCUUCAUAAAAUCAUUAACUUUCUUAUUGUUAUGCUGGAACAAGUGUCUUUGGUAAUUCGGUAGGCUGGAUUAUAUCACAUCAUUACUUGCUUACUUUAUGAAGGAAAUAAGAAGAGAUGAUAAAAAUGUGCAGCAUUAUUGAAAAAGAAAGCUUAUCACAUUUUAAUAUCUGUAUUACAUCUGAGUGCAUCAUUUCAUCCCUUCUUACUUGCAUUUUGAGAAAGAUAGCUUUGAAAAAAGUAGCAGUAUUAUUCAAAUCUCUAUAGUAACUUAAUCAGAAUUUUACAGAACUGCAAACACUCCCUAGCACUGUUUUUCAUCAUGAUCAAGCUACAUAAAUUAAUAAAAAAAAUUAGUUUAUUCUUAUUGCUAGACUGUUCCUAGAACAAUCACUUAAUACCAGUCAAUCUUCAAUUAAUAACCCUCCAGCCAAGUAAUUUCUACCAGCAGUGAUUUUCCCUCUUCUUGAAUGGUUGAACACAAUUUUCCCACUCCCUUAUUCUAUCCCAACCUCUUGAGAGUAUUUAACAUUCAGGCAUCAAUUGGGAGGCCAUGCUCAUUAUAUAUGUUACCUGCCACAUACCCUUUAUUGAAAAUGGGCAACUGCAAAGUCAAGAAUUGGUUUCCCAAAACUUUUAACCUUGAGGCAUAAGUCCAUCAUCGUACCAUGGAGGCACUUUUCAAUAGACUUUCAGUUGUUAAUCUAUCAGACUUCCGGUAAAAGUUUUUUUUUUUUUUUUUUGUGAUUCUUAUUGAAUGAAACAUGAAAUUUCAUUGAACUAUGAGAUUGCAUUGUCACUGUCCUUCCAGCUUGUCAUGCAACUGUACACCACUUGGAAGUGUUAGGGCAAGAAUUUUUCACUAUUGUGUAUCACGGGUGUUUUAUUAGUAUUACUGCCAUAAAUUCUCGCGUUUAAAUUUUUACAUACCUGCUGGACAGUGCCUAUCACACCAAAAUGUGAAAAUGUGCCCUCUACUUCACCUUGACAUCUUGCACACAAGACCUGCAAACAUAUUUUUUGUUUCUUCUUCUAUGGUACUGUACACUCCAUUGCCAGUAAUAUCUGUUUGACCUUCACUACCAGAGAACUCCUUUCUCCUCUGCACUUGUAUCUUUAGCUGGGGGAGGCGCGUCAGGUGAUGGUUGGUCUGCCUUCAUAUAUCAACCUGGCUGAUUUUCUUCCUCCACUGCUACCGUAGUAACUUUUCCCUGCAUUUCCCACUGUCUGUAGGUUUUCCAGCCUUCCUUUCAUCAUACAGAGUUUCUUUGAUAGUCGUGGCAUCUCUCACAUCCAAGUCUAUUUUGAUUGUGCUGGUGUGUUUACUAUUCAGACCACUCUCGCGGCCCGCGGGUGGACCGUGGAAGUUGCUGGGAGAAGGAAUAGUAACGUAGCGCAGCUGCCAGACGUAUAAUAAAAUUUGAAAAAAAAAAAAGUUUCCUGGCUUAUUUUCCCGGGCGGGCAUUCAGAUGCCUAAGGCGCUAAAAAAAAAAAACAAAAAUUCAGAGACAUAUAGGUGAGACGUUUGGCUUAAGAGGUCCAUACGCAUAAUAUCCAACAAAGGAAAAAAAAAAAAAAGAAAGGAAAAAAUAUAAUGUCCAUAAGUAUACAGAAAAGUAUUCAUAAAUUGAGAGAUUUAAAGUUGUUCACAUCUUAUUUUCUACAAGGAGACAUCUGGUGGCUGAGAGUAUGAACUAAAAGUUGUGAUUUCUCCAGUUGAAAAUAGCCCAAAUUUCGAGAUUUUUCAUGCCUUCUGCCGAGUGUUCCCCUUUAUAAAUCAAAAUCAGCCAAUUCAUCGAGAACAUCUUUCACGAAAUUCUCUUGGUUGACGUACCUGAACUUGUUGCUGUUCGGUCAUGAUGGUUUAUAAUGGGGAUUCUUUAGCCUUGUGGCACCUCUGACCCGGUCAUUGUGGCACAGCAAACUUGUAAAAAUUUUGAAGCGCUCAUGGCAGAUCUAGACCGUUUAUGAAUCAGGUAUGAAAAUAUCCGCCAUUUUGAAGGUUUAUGACGAACUAAUAGCAUUAUGACUUUUAUAAGUACCGACCCAAAUUAAUUUGGGUAUUUUUAGAGUUUAGUGUUGGCUGUAUUGUAGCGAAAGGCCGUGUUUGUCUGUUCUGUGUCCCGUGACAUUCGUUAAUAACUCAACACCCUGUUUGUCCCUUGUCUCAGCAGGAAACGGGGUGUUGCGUCUCAAUGUGAGUACUGCUACUGCAAGAUCGAAAUAACAACACAGGUCAACGCAUUAGGCGACUCGAAAACAUUCUUUGUGAGCUUGUGACACAAGGAGUAUGAUAUGCAAAAAGUUUGAAGACACGCCAGCGUAUUAGGAAAGUAUAGGAAGGAAGUAGUGUUUUGUUAAAGUUUGGAUGGUAUUUGCGGUGCUGCCAUCUGGCGGCAACGAGUGUAAAAAAACAGCAAAAAAAAAAAAGAAAAAGAAAAAACAUUUUCAAGGAUGUCUUAGGGGUGAUUUCACAGUCGCUAGGUAACGUUCGUAAUCAAAACUCUUGGUAACAGGCAUUACUUACAUUCACUUCCGACUGCACAGUCGUUUUUUUCGUUGUUUCAGUAAU